GCUGGCAGCAUGCUUACACAUGCAAGUCGAACGGCAGCAUGGGGAGUAGCAAUACUUUCUGAUGGCGAGUGGCGGACGGGUGAGUAACGCGUAGGGAUCUGCCCUAUAUAGGGGGAUAACCCGGGGAAACUCGGGCUAUUACCGCAUGAGAUCGAGAGAUGAAAGCUUGGAGCAAUCCAGUCGCUAUAGGAGGAGCCUGCGUCCGAUUAGCUAGUUGGUAGGGUAAAGGCCUACCAAGGCGAAGAUCGGUAGCUGUUCUGAGAGGAAGAUCAGCCACACUGGGACUGAGACACGGACCAAACUCCUACGGGAGGCAGCAGUGGGGAAUAUUGGACAAUGGGGGCAACCCUGAUCCAGCUAUGCCGCGUGUGUGAAUAAGGCCUUCGGGUUGUAAAGCACUUUAAUUGGGGAAGAAGGAUAUUACUUUAAGAGAUGAAUAUCUUGACGGUACCCAAAGAAUAAGCACCGGCUAUCUCUGUGCCAGCAGGCGCGGUAAUACAGAGGGUGCAAGCGUUAAUCGGAGUUACUGGGCGUAAAG
rnacentral:rRNA from 1 species